rnacentral:rRNA from 1 species
GACGAACGCUGGCGGCGUGCUUAACACAUGCAAGUCGAACGGAAAGGCCCUGCUUUUGUGGGGUGCUCGAGUGGCGAACGGGUGAGUAACACGUGAGUAACCUGCCCUUGACUUUGGGAUAACUUCAUGAAACUGGGGCUAAUACCGGAUAGGAGCUCCUGCUGCAUGGUGGGGGUUGGAAAGUUUCGGCGGUUGGGGAUGGACGCGCGGCUUAUCAGCUUGUUGGUGGGGUAGUGGCUUACCAAGGCGUUGACGGGUAGCCGGCAUGAGAGGGUGACCGGCCACAUUGGGACUGAGAUACGGCCCAGAAUGCUACGGGAGGCAGCAGUGGGGAAUAUUGCACAAUGGGCGGAAGCCUGAUGCAGUAACGACGCGUGCGGGAUGACGGCCUUCGGGUUGUAACCCGCUUUCGCAUGUGACGAAGCGUGAGUGACGGUAAUGGGUAAAGAAGCCCCGGCUAACUACGUG